rnacentral:rRNA from 1 species
UACGGGGAGGCAGCAGUGGGGAAUAUUGCACAAUGGGCGCAAGCCUGAUGCAGCCAUGCCGCGUGUAUGAAGAAGGCCUUCGGGUUGUAAAGUACUUUCAGUCGUGAGGAAGGUGUUAAGGUUAAUAACCUUAGCAAUUGACGUUAGCGACAGAAGAAGCACCGGCUAACUCCGUGCCAGCAGCCGCGGUAAUACGGAGGGUGCGAGCGUUAAUCGGAAUUACUGGGCGUAAAGGGCACGCAGGCGGUUAAUUAAGUUGGAUGUGAAAUCCCCGGGCUUAACCUGGGAAUGGCAUUCAAGACUGGUUAGCUAGAGUCUUGUAGAGGGGGUAGAAUUCCAUGUGUAGCGGUGAAAUGCGUAGAGAUGUGGAGGAAUACCGGUGGCGAAGGCGGCCCCUGGGACAAAGACUGACGCUCAUGUGCGAAAGCGUGGGGAGCAAACAGGGAUUAGAUACC